UGAAUCAUCUACUACACCCUGUGGAAACAAU
rnacentral:piRNA from 1 species